UAACGUAGCGAAAGUUACGCUAAUACCGCAUAUUCUGUGAGCAGGAAAGCAGGGGAUCGCAAGACCUUGCGCUGAUUGAGCGGCUGAUAUCAGAUUAGCUAGUUGGUGAGGUAAAGGCUCACCAAGGCGACGAUCUGUAGCGGGUCUGAGAGGAUGAUCCGCCACACUGGAACUGAGACACGGUCCAGACUCCUACGGGAGGCAGCAGUGGGGAAUUUUGGACAAUGGGCGCAAGCCUGAUCCAGCAAUGCCGCGUGCAGGACGAAGGCCUUCGGGUUGUAAACUGCUUUUGUACGGAACGAAAAGGUCUGCCCUAUUACGGCGGGCUCAUGACGGUACCGUAAGAAUAAGCACCGGCUAACUACGUGCCAGCAGCCGCGGUAAUACGUAGGGUGCAAGCGUUAAUCGGAAUUACUGGGCGUAAAGCGUGCGCAGGCGGUUUUGUAAGACAGAUGUGAAAUCCCCGGGCUCAACCUGGGACCUGCAUUUGUGACUGCAAAGCUAGAGUACGGCAGAGGGGGAUGGAAUUCCGCGUGUAGCAGUGAAAUGCGUAGAUAUGCGGAGGAACACCGAUGGCGAAGGCAAUCCCCUGGGCCUGUACUGACGCUCAUGCACGAAAGCGUGGGGAGCAA
rnacentral:rRNA from 1 species